rnacentral:rRNA from 1 species
AACGAACGCUGGCGGCAGGCCUAACACAUGCAAGUCGAGCGAGACCUUCGGGUCUAGCGGCGGACGGGUGAGUAACGCGUGGGAACGUGCCUUUUGCUUCGGAAUAGCCUCGGGAAACUGGGAGUAAUACCGAAUGUGCCCUACGGAGGAAAGAUUUAUCGGCAAAAGAUCGGCCCGCGUUGGAUUAGGUAGUUGGUGGGGUAAUGGCCUACCAAGCCGACGAUCCAUAGCUGGUUUGAGAGGAUGAUCAGCCACACUGGGACUGAGACACGGCCCAGACUCCUACGGGAGGCAGCAGUGGGGAAUCUUAGACAAUGGGGGAAACCCUGAUCUAGCCAUGCCGCGUGAGCGAUGAAGGCCUUAGGGUUGUAAAGCUCUUUCACCGGGGAAGAUAAUGACGGUACCCGGAGAAGAAGCCCCGGCUAACUCCGUGCCAGCAGCCGCAGUAAUAC